AUUGAACGCUGGCGGCAGGCCUAACACAUGCAAGUCGAGCGAAUGAGGGAAGCUUGCUUCCCGAUUUAGCGGCGGACGGGUGAGUACUGCCUAGGAAUCUGCCUAUUAGUGGGGGCUAACGUUCCGAAAGGAACGCUAAUACCGCAUACGUCCUACGAGAGAAAGUGGGGGAUCUUCGGACCUCACGCUAAUAGAUGAGCCUAGGUCGGAUUAGCUAGUUGGUGAGGUAAGGGCUCGCCAAGGCGACGAUCCGUAGCUGGUCUGAGAGGAUGAUCAGCCACACUGGGACUGAGACACGGUCCAGACUCCUACGGGAGGCAGCAGUGGGGAAUUUUGCGCAAUGGACGAAAGUCUGACGCAGCGACGCCGCGUGAGUGAAGAAGGCCUUCGGGUUGUAAAGCUCUGUCAUUGAGGGACGAAUAUUCUUAUGGUGAAUAGCCAUGAGAACUGACGGUACCUCGAGAGAAAGCACCGGCUAACUCUGUGCCAGCAGCCGCCGUAAAAC
rnacentral:rRNA from 1 species